rnacentral:rRNA from 1 species
GAUGAACGCUGGCGGCGUGCUUAACACAUGCAAGUCGAACGGUGAAGGCGGAGCUUGCUCUGCUGGAUCAGUGGCGAACGGGUGAGUAACACGUGAGCAAUCUGCCCCUGACUCUGGGAUAAGCGCUGGAAACGGCGUCUAAUACUGGAUACGAGCUGCGAAGGCAUCUUCAGCAGCUGGAAAGAAUUUCGGUCAGGGAUGAGCUCGCGGCCUAUCAGCUUGUUGGUGAGGUAAUGGCUCACCAAGGCGUCGACGGGUAGCCGGCCUGAGAGGGUGACCGGCCACACUGGGACUGAGACACGGCCCAGACUCCUACGGGAGGCAGCAGUGGGGAAUAUUGCACAAUGGGCGAAAGCCUGAUGCAGCAACGCCGCGUGAGGGACGACGGCCUUCGGGUUGUAAACCUCUUUUAGCAGGGAAGAAGCGAAAGUGACGGUACCUGCAGAAAAAGCGCCGGUUAACUACGUG